UGAAUGAGAUCUGUUGAGCCUUUGAAAAUGUGAAAGGUCUUGAUUUGCUUUUGUAUAUUAUAGGUAUGGUUGUGAUGUCUAUUCACUUUCAUGUGGAAAGGCUUUUUCUGCUAAUGUUCUUUCUUUAACAGUGUCCCUGUUCCAGGCUCCAUCUGUAAGAUGGGAUGCACUGGCCAUUGUUUUUCAGCAGGUCAACAAGGUGACAUGGAUCUGAGGCAAGCUACAGCAGAGGGCAUACAUCCUCUGUUGAAAUAGCUGAAAGGACAAAUUAAUAUGGAAAUCACAAUGCUGAGUUGGACUGUCUUUCUUUGUAAAGGAUCUGGUGGAUUACCAUAACAAGGGUGGGUGAAGGGGCCAUUACUCAUUUAUUUGAUGAUUUUACUUCCUCACAUUCACUGAUGAGAAUUUGUUUCGGCAUUCGUUGCUCUGGGAAGAUUUUCUAACUUGCAUAAACUGCAUCUCAAUGCUGUCCCUGCAUUCCGUGGGAUCGCCUAACCUCCCUCCUGAGGCUGACCUUCAUCAGCGGGUGAACCACAAGCAAAAGAGUGGGGACCAAAAUCUACGUGUGCAAAAGAAAGAUGAGGAAGAAGAAAAAUCUCAUCUCUGCAACCACAGGCUGGGCCAGGCUUCCCCAGAGAUGCUGGUACCCUGAACUGGAGAAAGGGGAGGGUGACAGUGGAAUGGCCAAAACCUAAAGAUGGUAGACCUACCCCUAGCUAAGGGCUAGAGAGGAGCUGAGUCCCUGCCCUCACAUCUACUCAAUCAGAUUGUACACUCUCCUUUGACAAUUACAGCAAGGAUGAGGUUUGCUUCAGGCCCUGUCACAUAUAUAAGGAGAGUGCAACCCUGCAGGCUGACAUGAGCCACUCUGGUUUGGAAGUCUUUGUUGUAGGAGAAUGUCUGGCAGACUCUACCAUGAAGCAGUAACCCUUUAGGACUGUCCCAUCAAGUUCAG